GUACUUGCUUUGGCAGCACAUAUACUAAAAUUGGAAUGAUACAAAGAUUAGCAUGGCCCCUAUGCAAGGUUGACAUACAAAUUCAUGAAGCGUUCUAUACUUUU
ensembl:snRNA U6 U6 spliceosomal RNA